UACAGAGGUGGCAAGCGUUGUUCGGAAUUACUGGGCGUAAAGCGCACGUAGGCGGAUUGUUAAGUCAGGGGUGAAAUCCUGGAGCUCAACUCCAGAACUGCCUUUGAUACUGGCGAUCUUGAGUCCGGGAGAGGUGAGUGGAACUGCGAGUGUAGAGGUGAAAUUCGUAGAUAUUCGCAAGAACACCAGUGGCGAAGGCGGCUCACUGGCCCGGUACUGACGCUGAGGUGCGAAAGCGUGGGGAGCAAACAGG
rnacentral:rRNA from 1 species